AACCCAGCCAGGAUGUGGACCUGAUCUCUCGUGCCUACUGAACUGAUAACAGUUACUAUAUUACAUACUGGCUCAGUUCAGCAGGAACAGGAGUUGGGCCCUUAAGCUACGCCGUUCCGA
rnacentral:precursor_RNA from 17 species